rnacentral:tRNA from 1 species
UAGAAAGUGGUGUAAUGGAAGCACAAAGGGUUUUGAUCCCUUAAGUAGGGGUUCAAACCUCCUCUUUCUAA